UAUGUGAUCGUCUCUCGCAUAUCAAUAAGCGGAGGAAAAGAAACUAACAAGGAUUCCCCUAGUAACGGCGAGUGAAGCGGGAAGAGCUCAAAUUUGAAAUCUUAAAGGGUUUCCCUUUACGAAUUGUAGUUUAAAGAAGUGUUUUCUGUUGAGGUUUUGGUAAAAGUUCUUUGGAAUAGGACAUCAUAGAGGGUGAGAAUCCCGUAUUUGACCUUUACUUUCAACUUUGUGAUACACUUUCAAAGAGUCGGAUUGUUUGGGAAUGCAGUCCAAAAUGGGUGGUAAAUUUCAUCUAAAGCUAAAUAUUGGCGAGAGACCGAUAGCGAACAAGUACCGUGAGGGAAAGAUGAAAAGAACUUUGAAAAGAGAGUUAAACAGUACGUGAAAUUGUCAAAAGGGAAGCGUUUGACACCAGUGUUGUUUUUCUGAAAAUCAAUUAAAGAACUGUUUAUGCUAAGUUGUUUAGACUUUAUCAGCUAUCUGUUUAGUUUUGAGCUUUUCUUUAAUGCACUUUUCAGUUAACAAGUCAACAUCAAUUUCUUUUGCUGUAAAAAAGCUUGAGGAAGGUGGCUUGAGAUUCGUCUUAAGUGUUUAUAGCCUCUUGCCUAUGCAGUCGGAGAGAUUGAGGUCUGCAGCGUAGAUCCUUCGGGGCUAAAUGCAUUUGUGCUAAGUUAUAACACUUUAUAGACAACUUGUUGACUACGAUUUGUCUUGUAGCUUACUCGCUUAUGUUAUUUUACCUACGCUUAGGAUGUUGAAGUCAUCGUAUCGCGC
rnacentral:rRNA from 1 species